rnacentral:rRNA from 1 species
UACGUAGGAGACAAGCGUUGUCCGGAAUUACCGGGUGUAAAGCGCGUGUAGGCGGUAGGCCAAGUCUGCUGUGAAAUCGCCCGGCUCAACUGGGCGCGGUCGGUGGAAACUGGUCAACUGGAGGACGGUAGAGGCGAGUGGAAUUCCCGGUGUAGUGGUGAAAUGCGUAGAGAUCGGGAGGAACACCAGUGGCGAAGGCGGCUCGCUGGGCCGGUCCUGACGCUCAUGUGCGAAAGCGUGGGGAGCAAACAGG